AUGAGAACCAUGACAGAUGUAGCUGUUCCAAAGGAGAAGCUGCCUUGUCCAGGAGUGGAGGGAGAGACUCUCAAGACAGACUCUGCCACAGUCUGCUGGGGAGGACACAGCCAGAGCCUCUCUCUUCUCCAGGACAACGAGCCCGUCUGCCACAGACAGAGUCCUGCCAAGAAGUACAGGAGGGACGUGGAGCCUGGCCUUGGGCACAAGGGCAGAGCCUCAGAGCACGUGGAUGAGGAGGGGCCUAAAGCGCCUCCACCAGGGGAGCAAGGGGAGGCCCAAGGCCUGCCCUGUGGCCCCCAGUGUAGCCCCGAAGAGGAACUCCCUGCCAUGGGAAUGAGGAGCUCGGCAGCUGAAGACCAAGCCCUGUCCCACCCUGCGCAGGGCCCAGCACAGCCCGGAAAGACACGCCUCAGGAGCAAAGAUGGAGGAGCAGAGGCUGCCAGAGAGGGAGUCCGGCUCCUCGGAGAAAGAGAGGUGGAAGCCAUGGCCACCAGAGAAAGAGGAGUGGAGAUUGCCAAAGAAGGGGGCCAGCUCCUCAGAGACAGGGGAUUGGAGGCUGUGGCCUCCAGAGAAGCAGGAGGGGAGGCCGUGGCUGCCAGAGAAGGGGGCUGGCUCUUCAGAGACAGAGGAGUGGAGGCUGGGACUGACAGAGAAAGAAAAGGGGAGGCCGUGGCCACCAAAGGAGGAGGAGAGACCAUGGCAGCCAGAGAAGGAGCAGAGGCCGUGGCAGCCAGAGAAGGAGGAGCAGAGGUCAUGGCAGCCAGAGAAGGAGGAGUAGAGGCUAUGGCCACCAAAGGAGGAGGAGAGACCAUGGCAGCCAGAGAAGGAGGAGGAGAGACCAUGGUAGCCAGAGAAGGAGGAGGAGAGACCAUGGCAGCCAGAGAAGGAGGAGCAGAGGCCAUGGCCACCAGAGAAGGAGGAGCAGAGGCUGUGGCCACCAGAGAAGGAAGAGGGGAGGCCGUGGCAGCCAGAGAAGGAGGAGGAGAGACCAUGGCAGCCAGAGAAGGAGGAGCAGAGGCCAUGGCCACCAGAGAAGGAGGAGCAGAGGCUGUGGCCACCAGAGAAGGAAGAGGGGAGGCCGUGGCAGCCAGAGAAGGAGGAGCGGAGGCCAUGGCAGCCAGAGAAGGAGGAGCAGAGGCCAUGGCCACCAGAGAAGGAGGAGCAGAGGCUGUGGCCACCAGAGAAGGAAGAGGGGAGGCCGUGGCAGCCAGAGAAGGAGGAGCAGAGGCCGUGGCCACCAGAGAAAGAGGAGGAGAGGUCAUGGCCACCAAAGAAGGAAGAGAGGAGGCCGUGGCAGCCAGAGAAGGAGGAGCUGAGACCAUGGCCACCAGAGAAGGAGCAGCAGAGACCAUGGCAGCCAGAGAAGGAGGAGCGGAGGCUGUGGCAGCCAGAGAAGGAGGAGCGGAGGCUGUGGCAGCCAGAGAAGGAGGAGCAGAGACCAUGACAGUCAGAGAAAGAGGAGCAGAGGCCAUGGCCACGAGAGGAGGAGGAGCAGAGGCCGUGGCCACCAGAGAAAGAGGAGGAGAGGCCGUGGCCACCAGAGAAGGAAGAGGGGAGGCCGUGGCAGCCAGAGAAGGAGGAGCGGAGGCCAUGGCAGCCAGAGAAGGAGGAGCAGAGGCCAUGGCAGCCAGAGAAGGAGGAGCGGAGGCCAUGGCCGCCAGAGAAGAAGGAAGAGAGACCAUGGCAGCCAGAGAAGGAGGACCGGAGGCCGUGGCAGCCAAAGAAGGAGGAGCAGAGACCAUGGCCACCAGAGAAGGAGGAGCGGAGGCCGUGGCAGCCAGAGAAGGAGGAGUGGAGGCGGUGGCAGUCAAAGAAGGAGGAGCAGAGACCAUGACAGUCAGAGAAAGAGGAGCAGAGGCCAUGGCCGCCAGAGAAAGAGAAGGAGAGGCCAUUGCCACCAGAGAAUGCGGCUGGAUCCUCAGAGACAGAGGAGUGGAGGCCAUGACUACCAGAGAAAAGGAAGGGGAUGCCAUGGCCUCCAGAGAAGGAGGAGCGGAGGCCGUGGCCACCAGAGAAGGAGGAGCAGAGGCCAUGGCUGCCAGAGAAGAGGAGUGGAGGCCAUGGCCACCAGAGAAGGAGAAGAGGAGGCUGUGGCCACCAGAGAAGGAGGAGCAGAGGCCAUCGCCACCAGAGAAGGCUGCCCCUCAGAGAUGGAGGAAGGGAGGUGCCAGGCUUCAAGCAUCCUGCCUUGGUGAAGCAGCUGCCACCUAUGUCUCCAGCCCGAGCCUGACAUCGCUUCCUGGCCCCCACCACUGGCUCACCCCCAGCCCUAGCCACUUCCCCAGGUCUCUCCCCAGCACCCACUACCCUGCCAGCCUGGACGUUGCCUUUGGGGACCCUUGCAGCCCCCAGGGAGGAAGGCCUCCUAUCCUGAAGCUGUCUAGGGCCAGUCCCGGGCCAGACUCCCACCCAGGGAGCUCCAACCCAGCAGAACUAGAGGCAGAACAAGGGGUGCUUGGUGGGGAGACUGGGCAGAGCAGGGUGGGGUCCCCAGGGCUCUCCCCUCACGCACUGUCUGCUGUUCACAUGAGGAUGGAGCCUACCUUCUCCAAGCAACUGCAGACAGACAGUGGACAUGAGGACAGGAAGAUCUCUGCAGACCAGGAGAACAGUCAGGACGAGGGCUGGACCAUGAAGAGGGACAGGUCUGCCUCAGAAGGCUCUGAACUCCAGGGCACAGGGUGGCCCUGAUGACCCUGCCCAGAGACACACUGGGAGGGGGCAGAACCCCGAACCCGGACAGAGGAGCACUGGCGCUACCAUCCAACCCACUCCAGGGUCAGGUGGGCACUCAGGAAGGCGCGGAGCCCCAUUUCCUGCAUGACUCCACCCGGGUGGACAGUGGAGGGGCUUUCCACGUGCUGAAGGCAGACCCCAGGGUCUCGGGCCACUGUCCUGAGCAUCGCCCCUCAUGGGUGCCAUGCUAGUGGCUGCUUCCACCCUACUCUGGCCUCCGGGGCAGCUUCUCCCCUUCAGAGCUGUGGCCCAAAAGUGAGCCCAAGAGCUUUCCCUCGGGGGGCUGGGACAUCUAACGGACCUGGGCCUGCAUGUGGGAUAGAAACAGGUGGCCUAGCGUGGGGCAUCUCCACUCUACAGCUCCUCACCUAUAGGUGCCCCGGGAGCAAACACCUGUGCAAGUGUGAACGAAAGACACUGUAAAUCUGCUCCUCGCCCUCUCUGGGAAGCAGAGGGUCUUCCCUGUCCCGCCCACUCAAGGGAUCCACUGCUAAACGUUCCAGGGUGUGGAAAGCCAGUCAUUAAACACAGCCACUGUGAACAAAUCACAGAAAUUUGUACUUAAAUAAAUCUUAAUAGGUACUUAAUAAAAUAGGUACUUAAAUACCUAUUAAGGUAAUAAUUACCUAAACUCAAGACUUCCUAAUGAUUUUUUACAACUAUUUUUGGGGGUUGCUUACGCCUGUUGUCGCUGUAUGGUAGAAAUGCUGCGGGCAGGCACCGCCCCCCUCUCCCCACCCCAGUGGCAAAGGUGAGGCCCCCGGGCCGCUGGAAACCCACAGGUGCUGCAGACCAGGGCGUGACCUGCUCUGUGGAUUGUCUCUGUGUGGAUUGUGACUUCAGGAAGGGAGGCAGCUCGUGCCUGAGGUUCCCAGUGAAGCCAGCGACGCCUCUGCCGGGGCAGCUCGUGCCUGAGGCUCCCAGUGAAGCCAGCGACGCCUCUGCCGGGGCAGCUCGUGACUCAGUUUCCCAGUGAAGCCAACGACGCCUCUGCCGGGACAGCUCGUGCCUGAGAUUCCCAGUGGCUAUCUGAUUUUGUCAGGACCUGGGUCACUCGAAACCACAGGUUGGCCGAGGGCACAAGAGUUUGGCAAAAACCAACCGAAGCAUCCUAAGAGUCGAUGGCCACGUGGAAUUUAGCACAAAGGCGUUGCACGGAUUGUUAUUUUCUGUAACUUGUGUGCCACACACUCUUUGUAUACAGUCAUCCCUCAGAUCCACAGGACACUUGUUCCAGGACCCCCUGAGGACACCAAAACCCACAGGUGCUCAGGUCCUUCCUAUGAAAUGGUGUUGCGUUUGCAUAUGACCUAAGCACGCCCUCUGCUUUAAAUCGCCCAAUACAAUGUAAAUGCUCCACACGUGGUGGUUACACUAUGUUGUUUUUUACUUCUAUUAUUUAUUAUUGUAUUGUUAGCUUUUUUUCCUGAAUAUUUUGUCUCGGAGGCUGGUUGAAUCCAAGGACGGGGAACCCAGGGAAAUGGAAGGUUGACUGUGGCACAACAUAUCAAAACAGGCGCCCCCGCUUACCUGCAGGGGACACGCUCGGAGACCCACAGUGGACUCCUGAACCUGCAGACAGGACCAAACCCUGUAGACACUAAGGAGCCCCCACUUACCUGCAGGGGACGCGUUCCGAGACCCACAGUGGGUGCCUGAAAUUGCAGACAGUACCGAACCCUGUAGACACUGUUUUUCCUAUACAUACACACCUAUGAUCAAUUUUAAUUUAUAAAUUGGAUACAGUAGGAGAUUGACAACAAUAAUAAAACAGAACCAUUAUAAUAAUAAUAUAGUGUUCACAGCUUCCCAGAUAGAAGUUUCAUUCUUGCUUUAAUCUUUAUCUCAGCAUAAGACUAUUUUCC
ensembl:lincRNA